GUCACUUGUGCCAAAACAGAGGCUAGAAUCAAUCUCCCUUUUGCAGCUGUGUAUUUUGUCUGUUGUUUGGUGCUUUGCUUUGCCAAGCUCUUACAGCUGUACUCUACAGUGGUCCCCCUUAUCCAUGGUUUCGCCUUCCAAGGUUUUCCGCUCGGUUCGGCCCUCCUCCCUGGUCUGGAAGCAGAUGCUCCUCCUUCUGACGUAGCGUCAAGUGACGUCACAAUUAUGGCGUCACUCACGGCAUUUCAGCGCUUCGUCUCGUCACUUGGGCUUAUCAUCUCCACGUCAUCGCAAGGAGGAGAGAAGCUUGAUACGCUCAAGGAUUAAACCAAUUUAAAGAAGAAGAGUGAUAUAAGUUGUUUGGAGGUACUUUCCAAACGUUGUUCCAGAUUUGGGGUCUGAGGAUAUAAAGGAAGUGGCUUUUACCACGCUUCACUUUGAAUGAGUGCAUGCACGUGUAACCUGGAGAGAGGGGCAGAGGAAGAGAGAGAGAGAAUCCCAAGCAGGCUACGCCUUCAGCAUGGAGCCUGACAUAGGGCACGAUCCCACAACCUUGGGAUCAUGACCCGAGUAGAAAUCAAGAGUUGGAUGCUCAACUGACUGAGCUGUGCAGGUGCCCCUUGGGUAAGUUUUGUAAACUCCCUAAGCAUCAGUUUUCUUAUCUAUAAGAUGAUGAUAAUAGCACCUUAUCUAAAGAUCAUGUAUUAAAUAUAUGAAGAACUUAGAACAGUGCCUUGUUAAUAGUAGAUUCUCAGUAAAUCAUUCACUAUUCACAUCACCUAGCCAUCCUGAGGUCUUUUUAUUGAGUCUGGAAUUCAAAGUCACCUUCAUUUAAUAGGACUGUAGCCAAAAAUAAUGGAAAUGUGGGCAGAGCUCCAGUCCUAGAAAAAG